rnacentral:rRNA from 1 species
CCUACGGGAGGCUGCAGUGAGGAAUAUUGGUCAAUGGGCUUACGCCUGAACCAGCCAAGUCGCGUGAGGGAAGACUGCCCUAUGGGUUGUAAACCUCUUUUGUCAGGGAGCAAUUGGCGCUACGUGUAUCGUUAUCGAGAGUACCUGAAUAAAAAGCAUCGGCUAACUCAGUGCCAGCAGACGCGGUAAUACGGAGGAUGCUAGCGUUAUCCGGAUUGAUUGGGUUUAAAGGGUGCGUAGGCGGAAUGCCAAGUCAGCGGUAAAAUCGCGGGGCUCAACCCCGUCGAGCCGUGGAGACUGGCAGACUUGAGUUGGAGAGAGGUACGCGGAAUGCGAGGUGUAGCGGUGAAAUGCAUAGAUAUAGCGAAGAACUCCGAAUGCGAAGGCAGCGUACCGGCGCCAGACUGACGCUGAGGCACGAAAGCGUGGGGAUCGAACAGGAUUAGAUACCCGGGUAGUC